UACGAAGGGGGCUAGCGUUGUUCGGAAUUACUGGGCGUAAAGGGCGCGUAGGCGGAUUUUUAAGUCUGGUGUGAAAGAUCAGGGCUCAACCCUGGAACUGCCUUUGAUACUGGGUGUCUUGAGUACGAGAGAGGUGAGUGGAAUUCCGAGUGUAGAGGUGAAAUUCGUAGAUAUUCGGAAGAACACCAGUGGCGAAGGCGGCUCACUGGCUCGUAACUGACGCUGAGGUGCGAAAGCGUGGGGAGCAAACAGG
rnacentral:rRNA from 1 species